AUUGAACGCUGGCGGCAUGCCUUACACAUGCACGUCGAACGGCAGCACGGGGCAACCUGGUGGCGAGUGGCGAACGGGUGAGUAAUGCAUCGGAACGUACCUUUCAGUGGGGGAUAACGUAGCGAAAGUUACGCUAAUACCGCAUAUUCUGUGAGCAGGAAAGCAGGGGAUCGCAAGACCUUGCGCUGAUUGAGCGGCCGAUGUCAGAUUAGCUAGUUGUUGAGGUAAGGGCUCACCCAGGCGACGAGCUGUAGCGGGUCUGUGAGGAUGGGCGGCCACACUGGAACGGAGACACGGUCCAGACUCCUACGGGAGGCAGCAGUGGGGAAUUUUGGACAAUGGGGGCAACCCUGAUCCAGCCAUGCCGCGUGAGUGAAGAAGGCCUUCGGGUUGUAAAGCUCUUUCGGCCGGGAAGAAAUCGCACGGGCUAAUACCCUGUGUGGAUGACGGUACCAGCAUAAGAAGCACCGACUAACUACGUGCCAGCCGCCGCGGUAAGAC
rnacentral:rRNA from 1 species